rnacentral:rRNA from 1 species
UACAGAGGGGGCAAGCGUUGUUCGGAAUUACUGGGCGUAAAGGGCGCGUAGGCGGCCAACUAAGUCGGACGUGAAAUCCCCGGGCUCAACCCGGGAACUGCGUCCGAUACUGGAUGGCUUGAAUCCGGGAGAGGGAUGUGGAAUUCCAGGUGUAGCGGUGAAAUGCGUAGAUAUCUGGAGGAACACCGGUGGCGAAGGCGGCAUCCUGGACCGGCACUGACGCUGAGGAGCGAAAGCCAGGGGAGCAAACGGG